GACAAUCUACUCUUCAUGUCCUAAAGUCUUACAGUUACCAAGUCUUUUUAUGAGUGUGCUGAUGGUGAGGGCCAGCCACAGGAUGAACCAGUCAUGCUAUUCAUCAAUCUGAAUUCAUAUCAAUUACCCAUUACUUAGGAGUUCUUCCAUCAGGUACAAUUAUAAAGGUAUAAGUUUUGUACCUUUACUGUUCCAAACACUUCAUCUUUAAUGUGGCCACCUCCGAACUCCUUUUUCAGAGUUGCUCUUGUUGCUGCAUACAACAUUUUUUGACGAACCUAUUAAAAUGUAAAAGUUUGCUUACAAGUUUAUAGAUAAAAACUACUAUUACAAAAGAAAGCACUUUCUAAAUAUAUUAAAAUCUUCAAGCACAUUAAAAAUGAACUGUAAUAAAGCUGAAAUCCACUGACUGUAAUUUAUUAAAGUAUGUAUCUACAAAUAAACAUUAUAACACCAGUGUCUAAACUA